UACGGGGGGGGCAAGCGUUGUUCGGAAUUACUGGGCGUAAAGGGCUCGUAGGCGGCCAACUAAGUCAGACGUGAAAUCCCUCAGCUUAACUGGGGAACUGCGUCUGAUACUGGAUGGCUCGAGUUCGGGAGAGGGAUGCGGAAUUCCAGGUGUAGCGGUGAAAUGCGUAGAUAUCUGGAGGAACACCGGUGGCGAAGGCGGCAUCCUGGACCGACACUGACGCUGAGGAGCGAAAGCCAGGGGAGCAAACGGG
rnacentral:rRNA from 1 species